rnacentral:rRNA from 1 species
GACGAACGCUGGCGGCGUGCUUAACACAUGCAAGUCGAACGAUGAUGCCAGCUUGCUGGUGGAUUAGUGGCGAACGGGUGAGUAACACGUGGGUGAUUUGCCCCGAACUUUGGGAUAAGCCUGGGAAACUGGGUUUAAUACCGGAUAGUACCUUCCCUUGCAUGGGGGUUGGUGGAAAGCUCCGGCGGUUUGGGAUGGGCCCGCGGCCUAUCAGCUUGUUGGUGGGGUAAUGGCCUACCAAGGCGACGACGGGUAGCCGGCCUGAGAGGGCGACCGGCCCCACUGGGACUGAGACACGGCCCAGACUCCUACGGGAGGCAGCAGUGGGGAAUAUUGCACAAUGGGCGCAAGCCUGAUGCAGCGACGCCGCGUGAGGGAUGACGGCCUUCGGGUUGUAAACCUCUUUCACCAGGGACGAAGCGUGAGUGACGGUACCUGGAGAAGAAGCACCGGCCAACUACGUG